GGGCCCGCACAAGCGGUGGAGUAUGUGGUUUAAUUCGAUGCAACGCGAAGAACCUUACCAGGGUUUGACAUCCUGCGAAUCUCCUGGAAACAGGGGAGUGCCUUCGGGAACGCAGUGACAGGUGGUGCAUGGCUGUCGUCAGCUCGUGUCGUGAGAUGUUGGGUUAAGUCCCGCAACGAGCGCAACCCACGUCUUUAGUUGCCAGCAUUUAGUUGGGAACUCUAAAGAGACUGCCGGUGAUAAGCCGGAGGAAGGUGGGGACGACGUCAAGUCCUCAUGGCCCUUACGGGAUGGGCUACACACGUGCUACAAUGGCAGUGACAAUGGGUUACCCCAAAAACUGUCUCAGUUCGGAUUGGAGUCUGCAACUCGACUCCAUGAAGUCGGAAUCGCUAGUAAUCG
rnacentral:rRNA from 1 species